UGGCGGACGGGUGAGUAACGCGUAAGAAUCUACCCUUAGGAAAAGAAUAAUAACUGGAAACGGUUUCUAAUACUUUAUAAGCUGAGAAGUCAAAAGGAUUUAUUUCCGCCUAGGGAUGAGCUUGCGUCUGAUUAACUUGUUGGUGGGGUAAUGGCUUACCAAGGUGACAAUCAGUAGUUGGUCUGAGAGGAUGAUCAGCCACAUUGGGACUGAGACACGGCCCAGACUCCUACGGGAGGCAGCAGUGGGGAAUCUUAGACAAUGGGCGCAAGCCUGAGCUAGCCAUGCCACGUGAGCGAUGAAGGCCUUAGGGUUGUAAAGCUCUUUCAGGGGGGAAGAUAAUGACUGUACCCCCAGAAGAAGCCCCGGCUAACUCCGUACCAGCAGCCGCGGUAAU
rnacentral:rRNA from 1 species